rnacentral:rRNA from 1 species
GACGAACGCUGGCGGCGUGCUUAACACAUGCAAGUCGAACGGAGUGGCGAACGGGUGAGUAACACGUGGGUGAUCUGCCUUGCACUUCGGGAUAAGCUUGGGAAACUGGGUCUAAUACCUGAUAGUGCAAGAUGAGCUCGCGGCCUUUCAGCUUGUUGGUGGGGUAAUGGCCUACCAAGGCGUCGACGGGUAGCCGGCCUUCGAGGGUGUACGGCCACAUUGGGACUGAGGUACGGACCAGAAUCCAACGGGAGGAAGAAGUGGGGAAUAUUGCACAAUGGGCGGGAGCCUGAUGCAGCGACGCCGCGGGGGGGAUGAAGGCCUUCGAGUUGUAAACUCCUUUCGACAGGGACGCGGUACCUGGAUAAGAAGCACCGGCUAACUACGUGCCAGCAGCCGCGGUAAUUC